ACUUGAGUAGUUUAUAAAAAAAUUAUGAUUUGUGGUGUCAUAGAAGCAUUAUUGUCUUAAGUA
rnacentral:tRNA from 1 species